CAGUUAAAAAUGUAGUUCCAAUAGUAAAACUGGAACAUUACCAAGAAUAUCUUACACAGCCACUGUGUAAGAAUGAUACACAAAUUUGUGAAGCAUUACAUAUUUUU
rnacentral:snRNA from 1 species